rnacentral:rRNA from 1 species
UACGUAGGGUGCAAGCGUUGUCCGGAAUUAUUGGGCGUAAAGAGCUCGUAGGCGGUUUGUCGCGUCUGCUGUGAAAACUCGGGGCUUAACCCCGGGCCUGCAGUGGGUACGGGCAGACUAGAGUGCGGUAGGGGAGACUGGAAUUCCUGGUGUAGCGGUGAAAUGCCCAGAUAUCAGGAGGAACACCGGUGGCGAAGGCGGGUCUCUGGGCCGUAACUGACGCUGAGGAGCGAAAGCGUGGGGAGCGAACAGG